rnacentral:rRNA from 1 species
GGCUCAGGAUGAACGCUAGCUACAGGCUUAACACAUGCAAGUCGAGGGGCAGCAUGGUCUUAGCUUGCUAAGGCCGAUGGCGACCGGCGCACGGGUGAGUAACACGUAUCCAACCUGCCGUCUACUCUUGGACAGCCUUCUGAAAGGAAGAUUAAUACAAGAUGGCAUCAUGAGUCCGCAUGUUCACAUGAUUAAAGGUAUUCCGGUAGACGAUGGGGAUGCGUUCCAUUAGAUAGUAGGCGGGGUAACGGCCCACCUAGUCUUCGAUGGAUAGGGGUUCUGAGAGGAAGGUCCCCCACAUUGGUACUGAGACACGGACCAAACUCCUACGGGAGGCAGCAGUGAGGAAUAUUGGUCAAUGGGCGUAAGCCUGAACCAGCCAAGUCGCGUGAGGGAUGAAGGUUCUAUGGAUCGUAAACCUCUUUUAUAAGGGAAUAAAGUGUAGGACGUGUCCUAUUUUGUAUGUACCUUAUGAAUAAGGAUCGGCUAACUCCGUG